CUGGCACGCUUCACCAUAGCAUUGCCUUUUUACACACACACACACAGCAACAAACCUAAUGCUAGCUCCAGGCGCACACGGGUGUAAACGUGUGCAGCAUUUAGGUGGGAUGACGAAACUCAAGAGAGGUCUCUGAGGUUUUUGGUGAGUAAACGUGUGUGAGGAGGACACAUCAGAAGAAAACGAGACACACUCCAGACGCUCGUUCAAUAUAUCCCUCCCUCCCCUCUUAUUUCACAAUCUAAUCCCGGAUUAAUCUAUUUUAAUCUCAGUCCAGGGUACAGAAAACUCUACAGAAAUGAACAUGUACACUGUGGUGGGGAAUACUGAGGAGAAUUUAAAGAAAGACGUUGCUAAACCAAUGCAGAGCUCAACUAAAAAUGCUCAAUAAAAGGGGUAAUUAACAAGGAGUCAACUUGCACUCUCUGUUGACAUGCCAGCUCUCUGUAUCAACCCUGCUGGAUGAGGCUGCUCUUUAGCAAUAAUCAGGCUCAGGCUUUGUUUUCCCUUCUCUGUUUCUUCAAAUCUGUCAAACACAGAUUUAUUUUCACUGUGCCAAACUGGAAAUCCUUCUUAAGAAGAAAAAAUAACAAAACAACUUUGCAAACUAGAACCACAAUAAAAAAUAAAAAAAGACAAUCAAGGUUUCCUGAUUUCUUGCAUUGACUCAAAAGAGUCUAUGCAAAAAGAGAGAGAAAUUUCAGAAAUUAAAAGAAGAGUGCUGCCUCCAGAUCAAUCCAUGCGCAGCAAUAGCCGCAAAGGCUUUGACUGACCAACGCAAUAUUUGAAUGUCUCAUCCGCCAUCAGCCGAGCGCACUCCCGUUCAGCUGUCAUUCUCAACAUGGUGUCAAAAUUGGCAAAACCCAACAGAUGCUGUGCGUGCCCAACAGACAGACUGAACACAGCGAAAGGGGGGACACUACAGACGGCAUGCAGGAAUGUGGAGAGUCAAAUCAGGGAUGAUAAUAACCUAAUUUGUUGCUCCUGACCUUUCAGAGUCUUUUGCCCUCACUCCAAAAAAAAAAAGAAUAUCCUGUUACAUUAAAAAUUAUUUACACAGUUUGAGGCUGGCCUGGACACAAAUGUAGCUCCAAACUAAUGAUCAAAGCACAGCACAAGAGCCAAGAUGGCCUCUCUGCCUUCUAUAGUCCUGACAAAAUCUGCUGAUCUGUCUUUGAAACCAUUUCAUUUGCUGUGCUGCCAAACACUGAUAGCAUUAGUAAAGAGGAGAGUUAAUGAAAUGGAGACCCAGAAUAACUUUCGCCAGCUACUCGAUUCCCCACUGAGGCCUAGUCUCAUAUAGAGCUUCCUGCUCCUGGUGCUCUGGAGCCCAAAGACCCCAACAGCCAUUUAAUGCUCAGAAAAUUUAAAGAAAGUGCUUUUAUUCUUUGCUUACAAGUUUAUCAAAACCCCACUAAGUUGUGUUUUAUUUAUGUAUUUCUUUUUACGCUUACACGGAUACUAUGAUUUGAGCUACAGAUGAUCAAAUGCACUUAGAUUUCUCUAAAACAAAAGAAAAGAAAAACUCUUUUGGUAAAGGAUUUGACAGUCACUAAGGCUGUGCUGUCCUGGGAAAUGAACCGUAACACACAUCCACAAACACCACUGUGUGAAAAUAAAUCUUAAGUAGCCGUGACAUCUUUCUAAACAGGCCUGCAGCUCAUCCAGGCCAUUCCCCUCAUCUCUAAGGAUUCUGCUUUGGACUUGAGGGCAAGAGCAAAUGACAAAGUCACAGGAAUCGCCCAAUUACCAAACUUUCUACCCAGCUUUUACCUUCCUCAACACUUUGCCACAUGUGCUUUUUUUUUUUUUUUU